CGGAUCGGAGCUUUGUAAAACAGGCAGCUAUAGGCAAGGACCCGAACUGCCACCGUAUCGCAUCGGGCACACUCUGCUAGCCUAUAGGAGGAGAGGAAGGAUGGAAGGAAGGAUGGAUGGAUGGAUGGAUGGUUGCAUGGAUGGAUGGAUGGAUGGAUGGAUGGAUGGAUGGAUGGAUGGAUGGAUGGAGCAGAGGAGCCAGCGAGAGCCGGAGCGCGUUGGCAGCCGGGCAGCGCAGCCUCCCCGGGACAGCUUAGCCCUAAGCGGGGAGCCAGGAGGUCACAGAGGACUACAGAGAGUGCCUGAAGAUGGGGAGUGGAUCAACAACUGAUGGGAAUCAGCAGGGAUCCACUGGCAUCAAUAGAACAAGCUGAAGCCCACGCUGAGGCACUGUAGCACAGACAAAUGAAGUUGCAGAAGGUGCUGCCAUACCCCUGCAGGCGCUGUUCCAGAAGAAGCAUGUUCAGCAUACCAAACUACUCAGCUUCAGAUCAAAACUCAGGCUCCAGCACCAACCCAAUCUGAUCCAGUUGCAGCAUUGAUUUCAAGAAGUCAGUUCCAAACAUUCUUCUUCACAAAAAUCAGAAUAAAACGGUUUUGUCCAAGAGACAUAGCUUCAUGUAUUUUGAGGAUAUUUGUGUUAUGUAACAGAAAUUAAAGUCCCGACAUCCUUCUCAGCUGACUUUAUUGGUGAUGUAUUGGCAUAGCUAAAAGUUCUUCUGGCUGAAUGCAGAGGUUUCUCUCAGUCCAGAAGGUUGUUAGUCAAUGGCUGUGAUGCAGCAGAAGCCCAAGAAAUGGUUCAUCACAUCUCUGCAAGACUUAGACUCAUUGCCUACCUCCUGUCUGCAUGCUAAUGGAUGAAACCCUUUCAACAUAAGGAUCAUCUCCAUCUCAUCUAUAGGAACCAUGAUCUGGCUGUUGCAAUGCAGUAAAAGAAGCAAAAGACUGAGCUUGGAAAUCAUCUGCAAUGCUCAUAUACAGGGGAACGUGAUUCCUCGGCUGAGACAAGCUCAGCAGCAGCUGCUCCUUGCUUGGCUGACAGAGCAGUUUCUCCUUGGCUUCCUUGGAAAAGAACCUUUUCAUGGUCUUUGCUCUAGACUUGGGGACAUAAAUGACAUCAGAGGCCAAUGAAGGGCACUGCUGGACACUCCAUAGUCAACCUAGGUCGCAGAGCGGUUUCAUAUUUUUAAGGGGGAACAGUGUGCAAAAUUCAACCAAAGUGGAGAUUCUAAAAGAGGCUGUCUCAGAAAGACAUUGGGUUGGGGCUUCAUUCACUCAUACCCAGUGUGGAAAACACAGUGAUCAUCACUAAUCCUAAACUGCUCAAAUCUGUCAUUACUAUUAUCAUGACUAUUGCUCUGUUGUUAAUUCUAUUAUGUAUGUUACUUAUUCUCAAUUAUAGUAAAAUGUUAUCUGGAGAUCUAGAGCAAUUUCUGGACACCCCUAGGCACAGACAGUGACAAGCUGUUUGCUAAACAGAGAUCUGGGAAUAACUGGUUUUUCAUUUUGCUGCCAAUUCUGCAAUGUAAGCAAAUAAAUAAGUUGGAGACAGACCUGAAAUAACCAAAAAAAAGUCGGCUAACUGAAAAUGGAAAGCAAACAAACAGACUAACAAGCCCAGCAUAUCUGAGUUUAAAAGAAUGUUGUCUUCCACCCACAAUAAACUUCUUCAUGUUGUUUUCAAGAUUUGUAACAUGUUUUCUCAGCGCUGUAGAAAAAAAAAAUAAUAAAUGGAACAUCAUUCCAUUUUUUUAAAAGCAUCUUGUUUAGAAACAAAUCAAAGUGAAAUGUUUUGAUUUGCUUGUUUGAGUGUUUUCUCUUUCUGUAGAUUAAAAAACAAACAAACAAAGAACAACAAUAAAAAAAACAACCUCCUUGUCAAAAAAAUCACAUCAGUUUGGAUUUUACUUUUUCCAACAAAAUUCUUUCAGCUGCAAAUUUUUGACUGCCUUAUAGCAAGAAUCAAAAUAAUGAACUUUGGGUCUGGGUAGCUGAAAAUACAGACCUCCACUUCAGAAAAGCUGUCCCCUUAUCCUAGGUACACCUUUAAGUCACCAGCAGAUCAAGAUGGCAUUCAAUAAUGAAACCACUUGCUCUGAAACUGCCUAAAAUCACAGUGAAAAGUAACUUCUAGUAGGUUGCAAAAUACACCCAGUCAGAAAUUUGGUAUUAACUUCUACACUUUAAU